rnacentral:rRNA from 1 species
CCUACGGGUGGCAGCAGUAGGGAAUCUUCCACAAUGGACGAAAGUCUGAUGGAGCAACGCCGCGUGAGUGAAGAAGGGUUUCGGCUCGUAAAGCUCUGUUGGUAGUGGAGAAAGAUAGAGGUAGUAACUCGCCUUUAUUUGACGGUAAUUACUUGGAACGUCACAGCUAACUACGUGCCAGCAGCCGCGGUAAUACGUAGGUGGCAAGCGUUGUCCGGUUUUAUUGGGCGUAAAGCGAGUGCAGGCGGUUCAAUAAGUCUGAUGUGAAGGCCUUCGGCUCAACCGGAGAAUUGCAUCAGAAACUGGUGAACUGGAGUGCAGAAGAGGAGAGUGGAACGCCAUGUGUAGCGGUGGAAUGCGUAGAUAUAGGGAAGAACACCAGUGGCGAAGGCGGCACUCUGGUCUGCAACUGACGCUGAGGCUCGAAAGCAUGGGUAGCGAACAGGAUUAGAUACCCUGGUAGUC